rnacentral:rRNA from 1 species
AGUGAACGCAGGCGGUAGGCCUAACACAUGCAAGUCGAACGGCAGCACAGUAAGAGCUUGCUCUUACGGGUGGCGAGUGGCGGACGGGUGAGGAAUACAUCGGAAUCUACUUUUUCGUGGAGGGUAACGUAGGGAAACUUACGCUAAUACCGCAUACGACCUACGGGUGAAAGCAGGGGAUCUUCGGACCUUGCGCGAUUGAAUGAGCCGAUGUCGGAUUAGCUAGUUGGCGGGGUAAAGGCCCACCAAGGCGACGAUCCGUAGCUGGUCUGAGAGGAUGAUCAGCCACACUGGAACUGAGACACGGUCCAGACUCCUACGGGAGGCAGCAGUGGGGAAUAUUGGACAAUGGGCGCAAGCCUGAUCCAGCCAUACCGCGUGGGUGAAGAAGGCCUUCGGGUUGUAAAGCCCUUUUGUUGGGAAAGAAAAGCAGCAGGUUAAUACCCCGCUGUUCUGACGGUACCCAAAGAAUAAGCACCGGCUAACUUCGUG